rnacentral:rRNA from 1 species
UGGGGAAUCUUAGACAAUGGGCGCAAGCCUGAUCUAGCCAUGCCGCGUGAGUGAUGAAGGCCCUAGGGUCGUAAAGCUCUUUCACCUGUGAAGAUAAUGACGGUAGCAGGAAAAGAAACCCCGGCUAACUCCGUGCCAGCAGCCGCGGUAAUACGGAGGGGGUUAGCGUUGUUCGGAAUUACUGGGCGUAAAGCGUACGUAGGCGGAUUAGUAAGUUAGAGGUGAAAUCCCGGGGCUCAACCCCGGAACUGCCUUUAAAACUGCUAGUCUUGAGUUCGAGAGAGGUGAGUGGAAUUCCAAGUGUAGAGGUGAAAUUCGUAGAUAUUUGGAGGAACACCAGUGGCGAAGGCGGCUCACUGGCUCGAUACUGACGCUGAGGUACGAAAGUGUGGGGAGCAAACAGGAUUAGAUACCCUGGUAGUCCACACCGUAAACGAUGAAUGCCAGACGUCGGGUAGCAUGCUGCUCGGUGUCACACCUAAC